GCCAGGUGUGGUGGCCCACACCCAUAGUUCCAACUACUUGGGAAGCCUAGGAAGGAGGAUUGUUUGAGCCCAGGAGAUUGAGGCCAGCCUGGGCAACACAGUGGAAUGUUGUCUCUA
rnacentral:sRNA from 1 species